UACGUAGGUGGCGAGCGUUAUCCGGAAUUAUUGGGCGUAAAGGGCGCGCAGGUGGUUGAUUAAGUCUGAUGUGAAAGCCCACGGCUUAACCGUGGAGGGUCAUUGGAAACUGGUCGACUUGAGUGCAGAAGAGGGAAGUGGAAUUCCAUGUGUAGCGGUGAAAUGCGUAGAGAUAUGGAGGAACACCAGUGGCGAAGGCGGCUUCCUGGUCUGU
rnacentral:rRNA from 1 species